rnacentral:rRNA from 1 species
GACGGAGGAUGCAAGCGUUAUCCGGAAUGAUUGGGCGUAAAGCGUCUGCAGGUGGCAGUUCAAGGCUGCUGUCAAAGACCGGGGCUUAACUUCGGAAAGGCAGUGGAAACUGAACAGCUAGAGUAUGGUAGGGGCAGAGGGAAUUCCUGGUGUAGCGGUGAAAUGCGUAGAGAUCAGGAAGAACAUCGGUGGCGAAGGCGCUCUGCUGGACCAUAACUGACACUCAGGGACGAAAGCUAGGGGAGCGAAUGGG